AUAUUACAGGUGAUCACGUCCUUUUCCCUUCAUUCCUAGCUCUGUGAGGUGGGACAUUAAUUAGCUUUAGUUGAUUCCAAAGUAAGGAGUAAGAAGUUGGGGGGUAGGAAGACAGAAGGCUAAAAAACCUCUCCCAAAAACUUUAGAGUUCUAGUUGGAACCAUUGUCUCAGUUCUCUUCCCUCCCAAGGUCUCUUCUCUCUUUUCCUGGAACUGGGUCUAGCAUUACUCACUCAGCUGGCUUUCUUCUCUUCUUCCCUGUCCUCCUGUUCCUCCUCUGCCUGCUGUUUUCUCUCCACUGGAGUGAUACUAACAUCUGCUUUACUGUUGUUCGUAUGCCCUGAAGUAGAGUGUUGGAUGGAUGGACACUGCCGGUUGUUGUGCAGAGACAAUGAAGACAGCAUCAUACGCUGCCGGAAUCGUAAGCGGUGCUGUGUCCCUAGUCGCUAUUUAACAAUCGAACCAGUAACGAUUCAUGGAAUCCUUGACUGGACCACUCCUCAGAUAUCCACAACAGCUCCGCAAAUGAAGAGAAAUAAAAAUCGUGGAUAGAAAUGGCUUUGUUUCAGGUUGCUUAGGGUCCACAUUUCAUUAAACCUCACAAUUUU